rnacentral:rRNA from 1 species
AGCGGCGGACGGGUGAGUAACACGUAGGCAACCUGCCCAUAAGACUGGGAUAACAUAGGGAAACUUAUGCUAAUACCGGAUAGAGUCUUCUCCCGCAUGAGAGAAGACGGAAAGGUGGCGCAAGCUACCACUUGUGGAUGGGCCUGCGGCGCAUUAGCUAGUUGGUGGGGUAACGGCCUACCAAGGCGACGAUGCGUAGCCGACCUGAGAGGGUGACCGGCCACACUGGGACUGAGACACGGCCCAGACUCCUACGGGAGGCAGCAGUAGGGAAUUUUCCACAAUGGACGAAAGUCUGAUGGAGCAACGCCGCGUGAACGAUGAAGGCCUUCGGGUUGUAAAGUUCUGUUGUCAGGGACGAACAAGUACCGUUCGAAUAGGGCGGUACCUUGACGGUACCUGACGAGAAAGCCACGGCUAACUACGUGCCAGCAGCCGCGGUAAUACGUAGGUGGCAAGCGUUGUCCGGAUUUAUUGGGCGUAAAGCGCGCGCAGGCGGCUAUGUAAGUCUGGUGUUAAAGCCCGGGGCUCAACCCCGGUUCGCAUCGGAAACUGUGUAGCUUGAGUGCAGAAGAGGAAAGCGGUAUUCCACGUGUAGCGGUGAAAUGCGUAGAGAUGUGGAGGAACACCAGUGGCGAAGGCGGCUUUCUGGUCUGUAACUGACGCUGAGGCGCGAAAGCGUGGGGGAGCAAACAGGAUUAGAUACCCUGGUAGUCCACGCC